GAUGAACGCUGGCGGCGUGCCUAAUACAUGCAAGUCGAGCGAACAGAUGAGGAGCUUGCUCCUCUGACGUUAGCGGCGGACGGGUGAGUAACACGUGGAUAACCUACCUAUAAGACUGGGAUAACUUCGGGAAACCGGAGCUAGUACCGGAUAAUAUAUUGAACCGCAUGGUUCAAUAGUGAGAGACGGUUUUGCUGUCACUUAUAGAUGGAUCCGCGCCGCAUUAGCUAGUUGGUAAGGUAACGGCUUACCAAGGCAACGAUGCGUAGCCGACCUGAGAGGGUGAUCGGCCACACUGGAACUGAGACACGGUCCAGACUCCUACGGGAGGCAGCAGUAGGGAAUCUUCCGCAAUGGGCGAAAGCCUGACGGAGCAACGCCGCGUGAGUGAUGAAGGUCUUCGGAUCGUAAAACUCUGUUAUUAGGGAAGAACAAAUGUGUAAGUAACUAUGCACGUCUUGACGGUACCUAAUCAGAAAGCCACGGCUAACUACGUG
rnacentral:rRNA from 1 species